AAACAAUUACCGGUUUUAAGUUCCUGAUGCUAUGUACAAUAGGGUACAGGCGUCAGGCUGAGAGGGAACAGGGUGAGAAUCCCUGACAGUCGUGCUACUGUAUGCGUGUAGUCUUUCCAUAACCAUUGUACACAGAGUGUAUGAGAAGGGGAGAGUCGUGAAUGCGUAAGUCAGGAUACCUGCUUAGAGCUGCUGCCAGUU
rnacentral:ncRNA from 2 species